UUUAAUCCUUCAAUGGUGAAACCCUAGGAAGCUUUAGGGAUUUCCUGAAAUCGCAGGGUUCGCGCCGCGAACCACCCUUCGCGCCGCGAACUGUGAAUACCAACAGCCAUUUUCUUUUUGAUUGUUGACUAAUGCUGUCAUAUGUGUUUUGUGGUUGUGCUGGUUUUGAUUGCAGAUGUCUAAGAGAACUAAGACCACAG
rnacentral:lncRNA from 1 species